rnacentral:rRNA from 1 species
GACGGAGGAUGCAAGCGUUAUCCGGAAUGAUUGGGCGUAAAGCGUCCGCAGGUGGCAGUUCAAGUCUGCUGUCAAAGACCGGGGCUUAACUUCGGAAAGGCAGUGGAAACUGAACAGCUAGAGUAUGGUAGGGGCAGAGGGAAUUCCUGGUGUAGCGGUGAAAUGCGUAGAGAUCAGGAAGAACAUCGGUGGCGAAGGCGCUCUACUGGACCACAACUGACACUCGGGGACGAAAGCUAGGGGAGCGAAUGGG